rnacentral:rRNA from 1 species
GAGCAAACAGGAUUAGAUACCCUGGUAGUCCACGCUGUAAACGAUGUCGACUUGGAGGUUGUGCCCUUGAGGUGUGGCUUCCGGAGCUAACGCGUUAAGUCGACCGCCUGGGGAGUACGGCCGCAAGGUUAAAACUCAAAUGAAUUGACGGGGGCCCGCACAAGCGGUGGAGCAUGUGGUUUAAUUCGAUGCAACGCGAAGAACCUUACCUGGUCUUGACAUCCACGGAAGUUUUCAGAGAUGAGAAUGUGCCUUCGGGAACCGUGAGACAGGUGCUGCAUGGCUGUCGUCAGCUCGUGUUGUGAAAUGUUGGGUUAAGUCCCGCAACGAGCGCAACCCUUAUCCUUUGUUGCCAGCGGUCCGGCCGGGAACUCAAAGGAGACUGCCAGUGAUAAACUGGAGGAAGGUGGGGAUGACGUCAAGUCAUCAUGGCCCUUACGACCAGGGCUACACACGUGCUACAAUGGCGCAUACAAAGAGAAGCGACCUCGCGAGAGCAAGCGGACCUCAUAAAGUGCGUCGUAGUCCGGAUUGGAGUCUGCAACUCGACUCCAUGAAGUCGGAAUCGCUAGUAAUCGUGGAUCAGAAUGCCACGGUGAAUACGUUCCCGGGCCUUGUACACACCGCCCGUCACACCAUGGGAGUGGGUUGCAAAAGAAGUAGGUAGCUUAACCUUCGGGAGGGCGCUUACCACUUUGUGAUUCAUGACUGGGGUGAAGUCGUAACAAGGUAACCGUAGGGGAACCUGCGGUUGGAUCACCUCCUUACCUUAAAGAAGC